GAGGUGUGGAUAGGGGAGAAAUUCCAAUCGAACCCGGAGAUAGCUGGUUCUCCUCGAAAUAGCUUUAGGGCUAGCCCCGUAUUAGUUUAGCGGAGGUAGAGCACUGAAUUCCUAAGGGGGCGUCAAAGCUUACCAAGGGAUAUCAAACUCCGAAUGCCGCAUAAAUGAUGUACGGGAGUCAGACUGCACGAGAUAAGUUGGGCAGUCAAAAGGGAAAGAGCCCAGACCUACAGCUAAGGUCCCAAAGUGUGUGUUAAGUGGAAAAGGAUGUGGGAUUUCAGAGACAACUAGGAUGUUGGCUUAGAAGCAGCCACACAUUCAAAGAGUGCGUAAUAGCUCACUAGUCGAGAGGUCCUGCGCCGAAAAUGUCCGGGGCUAAAACACAACACCGAAGCUUAGGAAUGUAGUAAUACAUUGGUAGAGGAGCAUUCUUAAAGGAAUGAAGCAGUACCGAUAAGGAGCUGUGGACUUUUAAGAAGAGAGAAUGCCGGAAUGAGUAGCGAGAUGGAGGUGGGAAUCCUCCAGGCCGAAUAUCCAAGGUUUCCAGAGUAAAGCUGAUCUGCUCUGGGUAAGUCGGGGCCUAAGGUAAGGCUGAGAAGCGUAGCCGAUGGACAACAGGUUGAGAUUCCUGUACCGCGUAUCAUCAGAACUGUGGGGACACAGAAGGACAGCACAACCCGGGAAUGGAAAGACCGGGGCAAGCAGGGUAGGAGUUAAGCUGGCAAAUCCGCUUAACAAUCCGAAGCUGUGAUGCGGAGCGAAUUUAAGUAGUGAAGUGUGCGAUUCCGGCUGUCAAGAAAAGCCGCUAUUGUGUGAUACGUGCCCGUACCGUAAACCGACACAGGUAGAUGAGGAGAGAAUCCUAAGGCCGGCGGGAGAAGCAUUGUUAAGGAACUCGGCAAAAUGACCCUGUAACUUCGGGAGAAAGGGUGCCUGGGAAACCAGGCCGCAGAGAAUAGGCUCAAGCAACUGUUUAGCAAAAACACAGGUCUAUGCAAAACCGUAAGGUGAGGUAUAUGGGCUGACGCCUGCCCGGUGCUGGAAGGUUAAGAGGAGGGGUUAGCGCAAGCGAAGCUCUGAAUUGAAGCCCCAGUAAACGGCGGCCGUAACUAUAACGGUCCUAAGGUAGCGAAAUUCCUUGUCGGGUAAGUUCC
rnacentral:rRNA from 1 species